rnacentral:tRNA from 1 species
UCCUUGAUGGCUCAGAUGGUAAAGAAUCUGCCUGAAGUGCAGGAGACCCAGGUUUGAUCCCUGAGUCAGGAA